CCUACGGGAGGCAGCAGUGAGGAAUAUUGGUCAAUGGGCGCUAGCCUGAACCAGCCAAGUAGCGUGAAGGAUGACUGCCCUAUGGUUUGUAAACUUCUUUUAUAUGGGAAUAAAGUGCAGUAUGUAUACUGCUUUGCAUGUACCUUAUGAAUAAGGAUCGGCUAACUCCGUGCCAGCAGCCGCGGUAAUACGGAGGAUGCGAGCGUUAUCCGGAUUUAUUGGGUUUAAAGGGAGCGGAGGCGGGUUGUUAAGUCAGUUGUGAAAGUUUGCGGCUCAACCGUAAAAUUGCAGUUGAUACUGGCAGCCUUGAGUACAGUAGAGGUAGGCGGAAUUCGUGGUGUAGCGGUGAAAUGCUUAGAUAUGACGAAGAACUCCGAUUGCGAAGGCAGCCUGCUGGACUGUAACUGACGCUGAUGCGCGAAAGUGUGGGUAUCAAACAGGAUUAGAUACCCCUGUAGUC
rnacentral:rRNA from 1 species